GACGAACGCUGGCGGCGUGCUUAACACAUGCAAGUCGAACGGUGAAGGGGCCUGCUUUUGUGGGCCCUGGAUGAGUGGCGAACGGGUGAGUAACACGUGAGUAACCUGCCCCCUUCUUCUGGAUAACCGCAUGAAAGUGUGGCUAAUACGGGAUAUUCUGGGUCUGUCGCAUGAUGGGUCUGGGAAAGAUUGCGCCUUUGGGUGUUUUUGGUGGGGGAUGGGCUCGCGGCCUAUCAGCUUGUUGGUGGGGUGAUGGCCUACCAAGGCGGUGACGGGUAGCCGGCCUGAGAGGGUGGACGGUCACACUGGGACUGAGACACGGCCCAGACUCCUACGGGAGGCAGCAGUGGGGAAUAUUGCACAAUGGGCGCAAGCCUGAUGCAGCGACGCCGCGUGAGGGAGGGAGGCCUUCGGGUUGUAAACCUCUUUCGCCAGUGAAGCAGGCCUGCUCCUUGUGGGUGGGUUGACGGUAGCUGGAUAAGAAGCGCCGGCUAACUACGUG
rnacentral:rRNA from 1 species